UACAGAGGGUGCUAGCGUUGUUCGGAAUCAUUGGGCGUAAAGGGCGUGUAGGCGGUUUGUUAAGUCAGGUGUGAAAUUCCCGGGCUCAACCUGGGGGCGGCACUUGAGACGUAGGAACUGGAGUGAGGAAGAGGGUCGUGGAAUUCCCAAUGUAGAGGUGAAAUUCGUAGAUAUUGGGAAGAACACCGGUGGCGAAGGCGGCGACCUGGUCCUUUUACUUACGCUGAGGCGCGAAAGCGUGGGGAGCAAACAGG
rnacentral:rRNA from 1 species